rnacentral:rRNA from 1 species
GCUCAUGCAGCGUAGCGUGGGGAGCAGACAGGAUUAGAUACCCUGGUAGUCCACGCCCUAAACGAUGUCUACUAGUUGUCGGGUCUUAAUUGACUUGGUAACGCAGCUAACGCGUCAAGUAGACCGCCGGGGGAGUACGGUCGCAAGAUUAAAACUCAAAGGAAUUGACGGGGACCCGCACAAGCGGUGGAUGAUGUGGAUUAAUUCGAUGCAACGCGAAAAACCUUACCUACCCUUGACAUGGAUGGAAUCCGGAAGAGAUUUGGGAGUGCUCGAAAGAGAACCAUCACACAGGUGCUGCAUGGCUGUCGUCAGCUCGUGUCGUGAGAUGUUGGGUUAAGUCCCGCAACGAGUGCAACCCUUGUCAUUAGUUGUUACGAAAGGGCACUCUAAUGAGACUGCCGGUGACAAACCGGAGGAAGGUGGGGAUGACGUCAAGUCCUCAUGGCCCUUAUGGGUAGGGCUUCACACGUCAUACAAUGGUACAUACAGAGGGCCGCCAACCCGCGAGGGGGAGCUAAUCCCAGAAACCGUUUUCUAGUCCGGAUUGGAGUUGCAAAUUGGACUCCAGAAAGUGGGAAUCGCUAGUAAUCGCGGAUCAGCAUGUCGCGGUGAAUACGUUCCCGGGUCUUGUACACACCGCCCGUCACACCAGGGAGUGGGUUUUACCAGAAGUGGGUAGCCUAACCGCAAGGAGGCA